rnacentral:misc_RNA from 1 species
AAGUCGUAACAAGGUUUCCGUAGGUGAACCUGCGGAAGGAUCAUUAUUGAAUAAACCUGGCGUGGUUGUAGCUGGUCCUCUCGGGGACAUGUGCUCGCCCGUCAUCUUUAUAUCUCCACCUGUGCACCCUUUGUAGACCUGGACGAUAACUUUCCGAGGCAACUCGGUCGGGAGGACUGCUGGCUUUCACGAGUCGGCUUUCCUUGUAUUAUCCAGGCCUAUGUCUUACACAUACCCCAAAGAAUGUAACAGAAUGUAUUGUAUAUGGCCUAGUGCCUAUAAACUAUAUACAACUUUCAGCAACGGAUCUCUUGGCUCUC